CGAUCCCCACCAUGGAUUCUUUGGAUGGUAUAAAAGCUCCCUGGUAUUUUUUUUCCCCCCUAUUAUCCAUUUUAUUUAUUUACUUUGUUCUUGGCGCACCCUGUAAUUGUUGUUUCCUGUUUUUCAAGUAUUUAUGUGUGUGUCUGUCAGUGAGUAUGUGUCUGUCAGCAAGUAUAUGUGUGUGUGUUUGUAUGUGUGAGUGUGUGUGUGUCAGUGUGUUUGUCUGUCAGUGAGUGUGUGCGUGUGUGUGUGUCUGUCAACACGUGUGUCUGUCAGUGUGUCUGUGAGUAUGUGUGUGUCUGUCUGAGUAUGUGUGUGUGUCUGUAUGUGUCUGUG